UCACCCCAACGUUGCUCAUCAUCCUAAUCCUCCAAUGAAGCUGACACGUUCACCGUCUUCGUCGAAGCGAAGCCAUGGCGUUGGUUUUUGAUUUGGGGGAAAAUGCUCCUGAUAAGGUGCUGCAUUCAACUUUGCUAAGUUGGAAAAUCUGAAGGUCCAGGGUGUUCAAUUUUCCAGGAAGAUUAUGAAGUUAAUUUGAUAUUUGACUUCUGCAAGGAGAAAAAAGAGAUGGUAUAAAGAAGGGAGAAAAGCAAUGUCAUUCUAUGGUGUUUUUGCACCACGAGGUGAACGGUAUCAGAAACAAUGAGGAAGAGUAGUAUUUAGGGAAGAAAGGCAGAGAAAAAUCAGAGAGAGAAUGAGAGUAGAGAAUGAGUGUGUAUUUACUACGAGGUUAAGUUCAAUCAUUACAUUGUAGUGAUAGCUAACAUAUGAGAGAGAGAGAGUAACUACUUGAUGCUGAUCAUCAAGAACUAACUAGUUAUAGACUUAGUUACAUGUAACAAACUUUACCCUUCUUCUAGCAGCUUCUAGUAGUUGUGCAGACCAUAGACCUAGCACGAGGUUUUUUGGAAUUUUCAGUUACAGUCCAAAUUCUUGAC